rnacentral:lncRNA from 1 species
GAACGCUGAUUUAUUAUGAUAUUACAAUUAUGAGAAAGAUUACAUAGAAGAUUCGACAACCGACAAUACUACCUGCUUUAUGAGGAUCUACACCUAACUGUAUCACCUGAGCCAUCCUACGAAGACCUACGCCUGGCCGGAUUUUACUUGCACCAUGUUGAACAUCCCUUGUAAGUCUUUCUUCCAUAGUCUCCAUAAUUGUUUAAUAAAUCGAUUUCUCCGGAAAUUGAAACCUAAACCUCCUAUAAUGCGCAAUCUGCAAGAAAUUGCAUAGUCUGGGAUUUGAACCCCAGACCUGGAUGUAGAAGCCUUUAAACCUUAUCCACUAGGCUACGG